UAUUUGUGUUGUAACUAUUGUUUUUUGUGAGUUUUCUUUGUUGCCCCGUGCGAGCGUGGCACCGCUUUAGACUUAGACCUGUGUUGUGCCUGUUGACUGGCCAGGGCGGGAGACAGACGAGGAGUUGUCCGUGGGCUCAAAGCAGCUUCAGGGCUUGGUGAAGGACAAAAUGGCGAUGGCGGGCCGUGGCUCUCGCUAUGAUGAGGACUUUUUCACAGACCUGUACUGAGCUCCAUGAGGAUAAGUAACUCUGAGGAGACGGGCCCUGCAUAGCCGCCUACUAGGCCGUAGCUCCAGAAAACAAAGCGUUCUCGAAAUACCCUGUACUAAUCUUAUGUCUUGGGCUCUUGUCUACAGGGUCAGGCGCACGUUUGAAUCGAAGUAGAGCUCCCCUUGGAGUAAGUGCUUAUAGGUAUUUUUUAUCUCUCUUUGAGUGUAUGGAAGUCCCAUGGGAUUUGCUACGGUGAUGAUUUUAAAAACUGAGCUCUCUCUUGCUGAUGUGUUAGUGGAGAAAGCAUAAAAAUUCUGAGUAGUAGUGUAUGUUUGGGGUCUUUUGGUUUUCAAUUUUGAGAUGUUAGUGAAGGAUGUUUUUUUCCUCAGAUGCUCAGCUCAAAGGACCUUACUGCUGGUAGGGUGGGACGAAAUACGUCCCUCUGCGAAGCCAAUAUGGAAGUGAUGUUCCAGCAUUUCAUAAUCUUUCCUGAGGAAUUCAACUGCCUACCAGGGUGAACACAGGUAAUUGGUCAGAUGGGUGGGUGCAAGGUAUGUCAACUUGUUCACAUUUAGGAGGACAAAAUGGUCAGAGUGUUGCAGCUUUGCUCCUUCCAUCUUAUUCCUCCUGAGGUGGCUUUCUGGGGGGAGAGAGCACAAUUCAGUGAUACAGUUGGUACUUGUAAGAGUGUUCUUCCCUCAUUCACACACAUCACUGUCAAAUGAUUUGAAUUGAUAAACUGAUGCUCUGUGAGGUAUAUCAGUUAAUAGCAUGUUAGAGUUCUGAUGGCAGUGUUGUUAAUGAAAAAAUCUUGUUACAUCCUAAUGCUUUAAAAUAACCACUUGCUCCUCUUUUCCCAGAUUAUCCUAAUGACGAUAUGUUCCUCUGUCUUGGAGUAAGUUGUUUCUCCAGAUAACCAUAAUUACAUACACAUAUUUGAACUCAUGCAAAUAAUGGCUUUAUGUUCAUGGUAUUUGUCAUUGAAACCUGAUUGAGCUAUAAAGCUUUCUGGUUCUCUUGUUGCCUAGAGUAAUUUCUCUUGACCUCCCAUUAUUUCUCCUAGAUGCCCACAGAUCCACCCAGGGUCAGACUCCACAUUAGUUGCAGUUGCCAGGGUCCGGUGCCAAUGUGAGCAAGCAUUCUAUCUUACCCUGUGUCAUAGUCCCAGAGCCAGUAAUAAAGAAUACACUGGGGUAAUUGAGAGGAUGAGAACUGUUCCAUAAGGAACUGUCUGAGGUAUGCCAAAUACCUAUUAAGUAGCACUUGCUUUGCUUUUCUUCACUUGUCCGUUGGCAUAGAAUAGCUGUGGUCAUUUUGGAUACUUUGCCAAUUAAAUGAUUUUUUUUAAUUCAGGAGCAUCUUCUUUCUGAAUACCAUUGGGAAGGCUUUGGAGUUGAGAGGUUAGUUUUUCUUGUGACUUGUGCCACCAAAUAGUCAGUUUCUGUGAUGAAUCAAACUAGCUCACUAUGAUUGGCAGUGAAAAUACACGAACACCUGAGAAACUAGAACAGGAGUGAGGGGAGAUAGCACAUUAAAGGAACCUUUGGCCCACAGCUUUGUUUUUCCCCAGGUACUGUUACCAGAAACCUGCUUGUUGGCACAAAGGUCAGUAAUUUCAAUGUAUGUUCAGUGCAUGCAGCAUAUUGAGUAGGAAAAAAAAAACGCCUUUUUGGGCCUGCAUGUGAUGACUUACAUGGAAUCUCGUUCGGCUGAUGACUUGCUGUUGAGACUUGGAAAUCUGAUCUCUACAAAUAAUGGUUUAAUGAGAACUUACUACAGGACAUAAGCAUUACUGACUUGGUCUUGUUUGUUUUAGGUCUAGCAUUUUGUCUGGAACCCAAGAAUAGAUCUGAGAGGUGAGUGUUUUUGCAGCACUUACAGGAAAAUUGGCUAUUAUUAAUGUGGUGGCACUUUGGUCUGGAUGGCUAUGUAAAGAUAUCCCUGGUUUAAAUCAAAGUCUGUCUUUGGUCAUUCUGGAACUACUUGUCAUAAGUUCCUGCUCACCAGUGAUGAGUUGAAUACCGCCCCAGUCUGAUAACUGACUGAAAGGUAUUUUCUGAACUGAGCUUGUUUCGCAAUAAGUGCUAAAAAUGAGAAAUUGAGUAGGGUUUACUGCCAACCCAGGAAGUUUUUUGGACUAGCUAGCUAGUGGUGUCUAAAAUGUGCCUUGAAAAUUAUAGGACCUUUACAAGUGUAUCUUCCAAACAACAGGGAGAGACUUUAAUUCUUUAUUUUGCAGGGAAGCUUAGCCCUCUUCAACCCUACUCUGAAAUUAGAGGUCUGAGGAAAGAACAAGGUGCAUAUAAAUGGUAGGUAUUCAUAUAUUUAUUUGUGCUUAAUACUUAAUAGAUUAACGAUAAAUUAAGUCUCUAAACUUGUAAGUAACAGUGGUUUGGGUAUAUAUUUAUGCUUUCCCAUCCAGUAAGAGAUAAGUACUAAAAAUGAAAUACUAAUCUCCUCAACUUACUGAAUAGACCUAGGGGGUCUAUUUGAUCUUUUGUUCAGGGAGACCCAGGAGAAACCAUAAAAACUUGAGUUCCUGGCCAUGACAGGAUAAGUCAGACAUGCCUUGUCCUCCCUACUUGAACACAACAACUGACCAGCAUUGACACAGAUCACAUGAUAGAAUGGGUUCUUUGUGGCAGUAAGACACCAAAUUAUAAAUUGCCUAAGCUGCUACCAGGAUUACCCAUUUGGAUACCUUUAAAUGAUAAAUCAUAUUCCAACCACCAUAAGGUUUUUCUUUUUCUCUACCAGCUAAACAAGCACUGGCUUUUGACAUAAGCAGCAGUAAGACAAUUGUAAGGCAUCAACACCAGACUUCCUCACUACAGCUUUAAUUGGGCAACAGACUGAUCUAACAAUAUUCCUCCUGAGAGACCAACUAUGGACUGCUAUACAUUUGAGUGUCUUCAUGCCUCUGAUUUACCUUCUGGAACCUAGUUGUAAUACAUUUCAACAUUCAUUUCCACCCCUGAGUAUGGAUUACAUGUGAUAGGCAGGAAUAAAUCUCCAUUCCUACGUUUAUAGAUCCUCAUUUUUCAAGUGGAUAACUUAAGAGACCAUCAGAAAUGGAAUUCUCUAAGUAUUUUAUUGUGCAACCUAGCUUUUUGAGCUAGUAUGCAAUAGUUACAGUCUAUUACAUAAUAAAGUUGCUUUUU